UUGAUUCAUUUUUCUUGUGAGACUCAGAAUAUGCCACUAUGGUUAAACAAGAGUUUGGGGGUCCUCUGGCGGGCCGCCGGAGCGGGCACCGCCGAGGCAACGAUAGGUAUGUUCACAGGGGUUUGGGAGUUGUAAACUCGGUAAUGAUCCCUCCGCUGGUUCACCAACGGAGA
rnacentral:misc_RNA from 1 species